ensembl:lncRNA
GGGAUUGAAACCUGAUGUUUAAUGUAAUUUUAAAUAUACCUUUAUUUUACGAGGCAAGUCAGUUAAGAACAAAUUCUCAUAAUCAAUGACAGCCUAGGAACAGUGGGUUAACUGCCUAUUCAGGGGCAGAACAACAAAUUUGUACCUUGUCAGCUCGGGGAUUCAAACUUGCAACCUUUCGGUUACUAGUCCGACACUCUAACCACUAGUCUACCCUGCCGAUGUGUAGGACAAAGACAAAACAAAUGGAAAAUGAAAAGUGGACCAGCGAUGGCUUGAAGGCCGGUGCUGGAUCUUCUCUCAAAAUAUUUUACAUACUGAUAGCUGACAAUGCGUGAUGACAAUUUCACCAAAUGUUUAAAAAAAAUCUUACCUAAUGCAGCUUUAACAUGAAAGCUUACUUAAAUUAGAUAAUCUAUUUCCAUCUUUGAAUCUGAGGCCGGCAUUAGCGUUGUAUGUUAGUAAAAUCAAAUCUUAAACUACUCAUCUUGCUAAGUGUAAAAAAAGAAUGUUGAACAAUGUUAUUACUGAUAAACUGCACAUUUCAUGGAACAAGCGGUUCCUAAAUGAUGUUGACUUACUGGUCAUUAUUUGUAGUUGAUCGGUAUAUAUGACAUGGUGUUUUGUAUUCACAUUGUUCACUUUGGCCUGCUAUUGUUUUUGUUUUCACGUGGUGGACGUUGACCUGCCCUGCUGAUACUGUGUAAUGUGUUCAGGUGAGUGACUCAACACAGGUUUCUCUAGCUAGCUCUGCUGAUACUGUGUAAUAUGUGUUCAGAUAUUUCAAAGCAGCGACUUUGUUUGGGGAGGUGAGUUUCAGCAC